CAGAACAGUCAGAGGGUACGCAUGUUCUUAACAUCAUCCCAUUGAAGGAGCUAGUGAACAGGAGCAGCAAACAGGUGACCUGAUCAUUGCCUCCUCCAGCAUGAAUGGAAAUGAGUAAUAGAAUGAAGUUGGGUAUAAGGAAGGAGAAAACUAUUCUGAUAUGUCUACAGAAGAAAAGAAUCCUAGAGACAUUAUUCAUCUGCAGACUGGCCUCUGUGUAAUGAG